GAUGAAGAACGCAGCGAAAUGCGAUAAGUAAUGUGAAUUGCAGAAUUCCGUGAAUCAUCGAAUCUUUGAACGCACAUUGCGCCCCUUGGUAUUCCAUGGGGCAUGCCUGUUCGAGCGUCAUUUGUACCUUCAAGCUCUGCUUGGUGUUGGGUGUUUGUCUCGCCUCUGCGUGUAGACUCGCCUUAAAACAAUUGGCAGCCGGCGUAUUGAUUUCGGAGCGCAGUACAUCUCGCGCUUUGCACUCAUAACGACGACGUCCAAAAGUACAUUUUUACACUCUUGACCUCGGAUCAGGUAGGGAUACCCGCUGAACUUAAGCAUAUCAAUAAGCGGAGGA
rnacentral:misc_RNA from 1 species